AUUGAACGCUGGCGGCAGGCCUAAAACAUGCAAGUCGAACGAGUGGCGGAAGGGUGAGUAAUGUCUGGGAAACUGCCCGAUGGAGGGGGAUAACUACUGGAAACGGUAGCUAAUACCGCAUACUAUCGGAUGUGCCCAGAGGGGAUUAGGUAGUAGGUGGGGUAAUGGCUCACCUAGGCGACGAUCCCUAGCUGUUCUGAGAGGAUGACCAGCCACACGCGAACUGAGACACGGUCCAGUCUCCUACGGGAGGCAGCAGUGGGGAAUAUUGCACAAUGGGGGCAAGCCUGAUGCAGCCAUGCCGCGUGUAUGAAGAGGGCCUUCGGGUUGUAAAGUACUUUCAGCGCGGAGGCGUUACUCGCAGAAGAAGCACCGGCUAACUCCGUGCCAACAGCCGCGGUAAUAC
rnacentral:rRNA from 1 species